rnacentral:tRNA from 1 species
GGGUAUAGCUCAGUGGUAGAGCACGUGCUUAGCAUGCACAAGGUCCUGGGUUCAGUUCCCAGUGCCUCCA